UACGUAGGGCGCAAGCGUUGUCCGGAAUUAUUGGGCGUAAAGAGCUCGUAGGCGGCUUGUCGCGUCGGAUGUGAAAGCCCGGGGCUUAACUCCGGGUCUGCAUUCGAUACGGGCAGGCUAGAGUUCGGUAGGGGGAGAUCGGAAUUCCUGGUGUAGCGGUGGAAAUGACGCAGAUAUCAGGAGGAACACCGGUGGCGAAGGCGGAUCUCUGGGGCCGAUACUGACGCUGAGGAGCGAAAGCGUGGGGAGCAAACGGG
rnacentral:rRNA from 1 species